UACAGAGGUCUCAAGCGUUGUUCGGAUUUAUUGGGCGUAAAGGGUGCGCAGGCCGCAUGGUAAGUCUGGUGUGAAAUCCUGGGGCUUAGCCCCAGAAUUGCACUGGAUACUGCCGUGCUAGAGGACUGGAGAGGAGAUUGGAAUUCACGGUGUAGCAGUGAAAUGCGUAGAUAUCGUGAGGAAGACCAGUGGCGAAGGCGAAUCUCUGGACAGUUCCUGACGCUCAUGCACGAAGGCCAGGGGAGCAAACGGG
rnacentral:rRNA from 1 species